rnacentral:lncRNA from 1 species
CGCGCAGCGCGAGCCCCGACGCGUCCGCCGGGUCGAACACCUGCCCCGGCCACCGCGGGUAGCCCCUGACCUUGGCCCACACCAUCCGUGGCGGCGCGAACCCGCCCUCCUCCUCGAACGCGCAGCCGUAGCGCGCGCGCCCGCGCCGCUCCUCCUCGGGCGCGGCCGGCAGCGACCUCCUCGCCCGCCGGCGACGUGGGGUGGUGUUGGCCCGCAGCAUCUCCGCCACGUCCGCGUGCAUGUGGCGGAGCCUCUCGUCCUCCACGUUCUUGGAAGCCGCCGCCGCUGCCGCCGGGGCUCGCUCUGGCGCAAGAGAGGAAAACAUGGCGUCGAGUGUUGGGUGGGAGGCCGAGGGGUUUGGAUGGUCAAGUACUCGACUGGUUCCACUUCCUGCCUUGGUUUCGAAAUUUGAAAAUUGCCGUGUCGGUAUUAGUAACUGG